rnacentral:lncRNA from 1 species
GAAAGAAAGAAAAUGGAAAGAAAUUUUUCUUUUGUUUAAAUGAAAGGAAAAAUAAGAAGAGAGAAAAUCAUACCUAAAUGAAAUUACAUUAAUACCCUUUAUAAAUUAUAAUAUACCAAUGUUAUAAUGACAAAUUUGUAAUUUUACCCAUUUUUCUGCUCCAAUCUAAGUUUCCUUCUCAAUCUUGGAGAGAAAAUUUUAAUAUGGGUGUCACAUGUACUUUUACAUUUUCCAUUCAUUUUCUUUCUUCAUUCAAACAAUGAAAAACUAAUUUUUCCAUUCAUUUUCUUCUCCUUCAUUUUCUUUCCUUCCAAAUUCUUCUAGACCAAACAAAGUGUUAGUAACAUAUUAAGAACUAAAAUAAUAAAUUCUGAUAGAGAAAUACUAUUUGCACACUAAAAUCAACCACUAAAAUCAGCCACCAAUGUAUUUAUGUAUAAAUACAUGUGUAGUUUAUUUUAUUUUCAUAAUGUAUUUAUAUUUUAGCAUAUAUUUUAUACUAAUAACUAACUUUGGUAGCUGAUUUUAGUGUACAGAUAGCAUAACUCAUUCUGAUAACCAUCUAACAUUUCAACUAAACAAAACUUUAGGCGUCUUUCCCGGUUGUUGUCCCUGUACCUCAAAGUUGGCCUCACCGUACCAUGAUCAAUGGUCUUGUAUUGUAUAAAUCCACCAUUGGUGUCACAAAUACAUGCGAAACAAAAGUUUUGCAAUUACAAGCGGGAAGGUUGAGAGUUCACUGGAAAAUACGAAACAACAAUAGGAGCUGAAGAUGGCUUCGGAUCUUUUUCGGGUUUUCUUGAUAAAGAACCAGCUUCCACAGCAACCAUGGAGCCUUUAUCUUCCCUGGACUUGGCCUUAAAGCAGGAGAGUAACGCUGAGAAUAGACUCAUCGUUUUCAAGUGAGGAACUUGUUACUGCUCUGGACUUUGAGAAAUUUCAGAAAAAGAAAGAAAGUGAACGAGUUAGGUAGUGGAAUUUGGG